AGGUUGACCUCGGAUCAGGUAGGGAUACCCGCUGAACUUAAGCAUAUCAAUAAGCGGAGGAAAAGAAACCAACAGGGAUUGCCCCAGUAACGGCGAGUGAAGCGGCAAGAGCUCAAAUUUGAAAUCUGGCCUCCUCCGGGGGUCCGAGUUGUAAUUUGUAGAGGAUGCUUCGGGUGUGGCCGCCGUCUAAGUUCCUUGGAACAGGACGUCGGAGAGGGUGAGAAUCCCGUCUUGGGCGGCCGGUCCGCGCCCGUGUGAAGCUCCUUCGACGAGUCGAGUUGUUUGGGAAUGCAGCUCUAAGCGGGUGGUAAAUUUCAUCUAAAGCUAAAUACUGGUCGGAGACCGAUAGCGCACAAGUAGAGUGAUCGAAAGGUUAAAAGCACCUUGAAAAGGGAGUUAAACAGCACGUGAAAUUGUUGAAAGGGAAGCGCUUGCGGCCAGACUCGGGGGCGGGGUUCAGCGGGCGCUCGUCGCUCGUGCACUCCCCGUCUCCCGGGCCAGCAUCAGUUUCGACGGCCGGUCAAAGGCCCCCGGAAUGUGUCGUCUCUCGGGACGUCUUAUAGCCGGGGGUGCAAUGCGGCCCGUCGGGACUGAGGAACGCGCUCCGGCUCGGAUGCUGGCGUAAUGGCCGUAAGCGGCCCGUCUUGAAACACGGACCAAGGAGUCUAACAUCCACGCGAGUGUUCGGGUGUCAAACCCGUGCGCGCAGUGAAAGCGAACGGAGGUGGGAGCCCUAGGGCGCACCAUCGACCGAUCCUGAAGUCUUCGGAUGGAUUUGAGUAGGAGCGUGGCCGUUGGGACCCGAAAGAUGGUGAACUAUGCCUGAAUAGGGUGAAGCCAGAGGAAACUCUGGUGGAGGCUCGCAGCGGUUCUGACGUGCAAAUCGAUCGUCAAAUUUGGGCAUAGGGGCGAAAGACUAAUCGAACCAUCUAGUAGCUGGUUCCUGCCGAAGU
rnacentral:rRNA from 1 species